GACGAACGCUGGCGGCGUGCUUAACACAUGCAAGUCGAACGAGACGGACUGGGAGCUUGCUCCUGACAAGUCGAGUGGCAAACGGGUGAGUAACGCGUAGACAACCUGCCGCAAAGAUGGGGACAACAGCCCGAAAGGGCUGCUAAUACCGAAUGUUGCGCCCCUCCCGCAUGGGAGGGGCGCCAAAGAUGGCCUCUGCCUGCAAGCCAUCGCUUUGCGAUGGGUCUGCGCCUGAUUAGCCAGUUGGCGGGGCAACGGCCCACCAAGGCGACGAUCAGUAGCCGGUCUGAGAGGAUGGACGGCCACAUUGGGACUGAGACACGGCCCAGACUCCUACGGGAGGCAGCAGUGGGGAAUCUUCCGCAAUGGGCGAAAGCCUGACGGAGCAACGCCGCGUGGGUGAAGAAGGUCUUCGGAUCGUAAAGCCCUGUUGCCCGGGACGAACGCCCCCGGCGCGAACAGCGCCGGG
rnacentral:rRNA from 1 species